GACGAACCGUGCGAACGUUGUUCGGAAUCACUGGGCUUAAAGGGCUCGUAGGCGGCCCACUAAGUCAGACGUGAAAUCCCUCGGCUUAACCGGGGAACUGCGUCUGAUACUGGAGGGCUUGAGUUUGGGAGAGGGAUGCGGAAUUCCAGGUGUAGCGGUGAAAUGCGUAGAUAUCUGGAGGAACACCGGUGGCGAAGGCGGCAUCCUGGACCAACACUGACGCUGAGGAGCGAAAGCCAGGGGAGCAAACGGG
rnacentral:rRNA from 1 species